CUAUCCUAUUACCUGUCGUUUAGAAUCCAACCGUUAAUGUUACGAGUCCACGGACGGUUCGAGCCUUGUCUGGCCCGAUGUCAUGCCCCGCGCUGCAGUGCCGCCAUGGGCACUGAGCUCUUCAGGUUGAGGCUUUCGCCACUUCUUCAUCUUCCUUCCCCUCUCCCCAGCCCAAACUCUCCACCAUAGCACGGCCUCAUCAAUUUUCUUCCAUUUCCGGGAAUUUCAUUUUUCUUAAUUAAAUAAAAAUUCCGAAAAAUCAUUGAAGGCGGGGCGGGGGUCCGGUUAGGUGCUGAAUUGAGGAAGCUAAGCUAAGCUAGGAAGAAUGGAAGGAGUAACCAUGAGGACGCUAGCAUUGUCAACGUCUCCUUGGUCGACCUACCUCCUCCAAUAUACUCGCACGCCUGCGCCUGCCCCUCUCCCUCCUUCCCUUUUACGAUUUUCCCAUCCCUCCCCGCGCAGCCGUUUCCCCUCCGUCUCCUCGUCUCCGGUUCGCCCGCUUUCCUCCAUGGCUGCUUCUUCAGCUCAGUCUCAUGCUCAGGCCCCGUCGGCGGGAGAUGCGAACGUUUUCCAGCUGAUUCAAGCUCAUGAGGAGAAGGCUGCCUGGCUUCCACCGAUUGAGGAAAUCCAGACAGUGCUUGAUCGCAGUGUGCGGGGCAUGCUCUCCACUCUUUCUCAUAUAUGCAUCGACCAUGAUCAUCGGAUCACAACAAAUGUUUGUUUGUCGGAAUCAUUUGAAUGCUGUUUCUACCCCAUUUUCGGGAGUUCUGAUUAAGUAAGACUUGUUCAUUUAGUAUAUCAAUUGUGCAAACUAGGACCGGUGGAAAUUUUAGAGGCUAGUAGUGCAUUUUGCUUCUAUAGUUUCAAUAGAAAAAUCUGGUGAGUGGUGACAACACAUUUGUUUUCGGGGUGGGGGUGGGGGUGGGGACUGCUAUGGCACCAUGGGGAUUCUGCAAUUCAGAUGCAGUGACUAAUGCUAGUUCAUGUCCCCAAGUUAUUGCGUGCCUUGUAUUAGUCAUCAGAUCGAAAAUCGAAUCUUAGGUCCCAAAGGAAACUAGUUUUGUUUAUUUUGCUCUUGCAGAAACUCGAGGAUUACCCAUCAGGUUCUAUGGUCGAUUUUGCUUGUGAUGCGGAUGGAUCUCCUAUACUAGCAGUCAGCAGCCUUGCCUAUCAUACAAAGGACCUAUUGGCUAACCCCAAGUGCUUGCUGCUUGUUGCCUGAGAUCCUGAAGACAGGACUGAUUUGGUGAUCACUGUGCAUGGUGAUGCUGUAGCUUUUUACAGGUAACUGAACAAGAGAAAGAAGCUGCACGUGCUGCAUAUCUUUCAAAGCAUCCCAAUGCAUUCUGGGUAAUUUGUCUCUUCUUAUUCUCUGAAUCGUGCAUUCACAAUCCAAGACUUCCCAAUGCUUAUAUUUCAUAAAUCUCUCUUGCAAUGCUUUGACUAUGAAGGUUGACUUUUGCGACUUCCAAAUUAUCCGCAUUGAACCGAAAGUUGUGCAAUAUGUUUCAGGGGUCGCAACAAGCUCUGUUAGGUUCAGGACGUGAGCUCUAUUUCUCUAUCUCUCUCUCUCCCUCGACCAAUUUCACAAUAUUUUAGCAAAUGAACUUGGGUGACUGCUUGACUAAGAAAUUUACAUUUGUUAUAGUCUACAGAUACGGCAACAGUCCAUAAUAAAUUAUUAAUCGUAUUAUUUUUCUUUAUUAAUCUGCUGGUCCGUGUCUUUACAGCCUUGCUAGGUUUCUUAUGGGACAAUAAUCUCAUUGCUUUGCUGUUUCGAUGGAAGGAACGCAGUGGUGGAAAUCUUGAAUCUUAGGAAAGUAUACCAAGAAUAUCUUUCUUUCUCGGGAGCACCACGGUCCAUGGGGCUUGGAUUCACAUUCACAUUCACAUAACUCUACUCGACCCGAAAAGUAUAGGAUUCCGUCAAUCCACAAGACUCCACAGAUAUAGCAUUCCUUCCAGAGGAUACAGGCCUGAGAUACAGAAGUACAAGGCAAUGCAGAGUUACUGGGAAUAUGAAGAUACUACUUUAUUUCAACAUUUCUCAUCUACCGAAAAAUUUUAAUGGAAUUAUCUUUUAGAUUUUAAGUCAGUUACUAAUGAGUAUUUAAUUUUGGUCAUUUAACUGUCA